rnacentral:rRNA from 1 species
GUCUAUGGCCAUGCCACUCUGAACAUGCCCAAUCUCCUCUAUCUCGGAAGCUGAGUCGGGCCUGAUUAGUACUUGGAUGGGAGACCGCCUAGGAAUGUUAGGUGCUAUAGACA